AUUGAACGCUGGCGGCAUGCCUUACACAUGCAAGUCGAACGGCAGCACGGACUUCGGUCUGGUGGCGAGUGGCGAACGGGUGAGUAAUGUAUCGGAACGUACCUUUCAGUGGGGGAUAACGUAGCGAAAGUUACGCUAAUACCGCAUAUUCUGUGAGCAGGAAAGCAGGGGAUCGAAAGACCUUGCGCUGAUUGAGCGGCCGAUAUCAGAUUAGCUAGUUGGUGGGGUAAAGGCCUACCAAGGCGACGAUCUGUAGCGGGUCUGAGAGGAUGAUCCGCCACACUGGAACUGAGACACGGUCCAGACUCCUACGGGAGGCAGCAGUGGGGAAUUUUGGACAAUGGGGGCAACCCUGAUCCAGCCAUGCCGCGUGAGUGAAGAAGGCCUUCGGGUUGUAAAGCUCUUUCGGCCGGGAAGAAAUCGCUUAGGCUAAUACCCUGUGUGGAUGACGGUACCGGAAUAAGAAGCACCGGCUAACUACGUG
rnacentral:rRNA from 1 species